AUGCUGUCACCGCCGUUAACACGCACGUGGAGGUUUGUUAAAGGUAUAGGGACUGCCCAGCCCAGGCGGCGGGCGGGGGAUGAGCCCCUGGGGGGGUUAGGGGAGUGAUCAGUAUUAAGUGGCUGGUCCUUAGUAGGUGACAGCAGGCGCUAGUUAGGUCAGGAAGUAUCCCCUGGGAGGAUAGGCUGGUGGACAGGGAAAGAAAAAAAAAGAGAAAUGGAAUUAGGGACCAGAUUCUCAGGCCAGCUAAUGGGGACACACAGAGAAUGGGGUAAUCUGGCUGGAGAAAAGUAUUGGAUCUUGAGAGUGAAAGAGUUGCCAUGAUUUGUGGACCAUAUGAGAUAAGUGCUAUGUAGAGGGGAGUGGGUUGGUACUCUGAGACUGGAGAGUCAGGGAAAGACUCAAUGAAAAGGAAAAUGGCUGAAUGGGAAGAGGGAAGAGAGAAAUUUGGGAUCAAGACAUCUAGAUCUUUCCUUUUCCAGGGCUGACCCUUUUCCUCCAGCCCCAUUUCUUCAUCAGGAAUCAGAGCAUACUUUUGUUCAUGGUUUCCUAGUCUGGAUGCACUGGAGUUCAUGCUUGCCAGAAUUCUGGAAAGGAUGCCACUUCCCCACCACUCCUGGGCCUCCUCCAUCUUUGCCGAGUUUCCCAUACUUUGCCCUUUCUAGGUAAUAGGACUCUAGUUCCUAAGUCAGCGCCAGUAAUAGCUCUUAGGCAGAAAGUGGCUGUGCAAAGUGCCUUCCGGGCUGUGGACCCAGGGCUGAGAAAUGGGAAACAUGCCCGUACCCAUUUCAGCUUCAACAUGGCCGAGCAGCCUUGGGUCGAGGCCUCUCUAGCCCUGGUUUCUACCAACAUCAGGAAGGAGAGCUACGAGAGCCAUCUAGGCAGACACCAGGAUUGUGCCAGGAAGACCUGGGUUUAAGUCCUGCCUCUACUGGUCUCAAGAUGUGGGAUCUUGUGACGAAGACUCUCAUGUGCAACAGUGGCACUGCUGAGGACGUGCACCUGAGCCAGGAUCACCUCAGCUCUUCGCCUGUAAGUGUUCCCAUAAAGAAAAGGUUGACUGAAAUAUACCCACGUUGAAGAUGAGCUGCGCUUGGCCCUGUGAACUGAAGAGAGCUUGUCUGUCAGACGGAAAGGGCCACUUACUGUCUGCCCCAAAAGAUACUGACUCGUGACACUCAGAUCAAAUCAGGAGAUGAUCAGCAUUAUCUUCAAAAGCAAGCCAAAGGGCCCAGCUUCCUCACUCCACGUCUUCAUCUUCCUGCUUCCUGACAUGCUCCUUGGCCUCCUCUUCUGCACAUGCCCCCACACAACCAUCAGGACCAGUGUGAGCGUCUCUCCCCCAGGAUGCUGAGGAAGCUGGAGGGGUGGGUGUAGAACCAUAGGCUCCGUCUUCAAAUAGCUUCAGAUUCCUUCUGUAGCCUCCAGUGAACGGCGUGGUGCAGCUGGUGCUGAGUCCAGAAACUAGGACAGCAGGCCGGCCCUUGACUGGUUCUGUCCUCCCUCCUACCUCCGCCCCGAGCUUAUUACUGUUCAUCUUUGAAGAGCUACAGCCAACUUAGCCCUCUAAAGAUGCCUAAGGGAUGGCUCCUUCCCCCUCUCCCCUCCUCUGGUUUUCUGUUUUCUGUCUCUUUGUGUUCCACCAGUGGAGAAACCAAAGCUGCAGACUUUUCAAGCCAUCCCUGAUGCUCCUAUACACAGGCCCAGAGAAAGAACUGAUAGGACGAACACCGAGUUUGAGUGAGUCAUGGCUGUUUCUCGCCCGGAGUCCAUCUAUGACCACAGUGAUCUGGGUUUCUUGUCUUCUGUCAGCAUGGAAAGGGGACAGAGGCUGUAACACGCAUCUGCCUUCUACCUUCUACCCUACCCACUCCCAGUCCGCACUGCAGGUGCACACGCAGCCACCCCAAUUCCCACACUGCCCAGAGCCACUACUCCUGACCCAGGCCCUGACUCUUCAACUCCCCUGGCUCCCCUCCCAUGGCUGCCCACCAACUGCCAUGGAACCUUCCAGCAAGGACAUUCUACCCAUCCUUCCCCACAGGGUUCUUCCUUCUCCCCUGGUUCUUUCUAUCCCCAUUCCUCGUGGACUGGGGUCUGUGGAGCCUCAGGAAGAAAGGCCAGGGUCCACCUAGAAGAGUCGAUCACAACAGAAGGCACUUAUGCCUUUGAAAGUCACCACCAGGGGGCGCCCGCGCAUUUCCAAAGCCACCGCAAGCGGUCCACUCUGCAGGGAGGGGGCCGGCAGGACAACGCAGUCUAACAGGCACGUAUUGAGUGCCUACUGUUUGCUAGGUCUGUGCACUGCUUCAUCUGGAGACGGCAUGCGUUCUAGCCUCUACAAAGAGACUCCAUAAAGAGCCAUUUUGGGGAGGAUUGCAGUUUAAGUCUUGGACCUGGCAGCUUGCUUUUUCACUUUCUCUGGUC